CCUACGGGUGGCAGCAGUGAGGAAUAUUGGUCAAUGGGCGCGAGCCUGAACCAGCCAAGUAGCGUGAAGGAUGACUGCCCUACGGGUUGUAAACUUCUUUUAUAAAGGAAUAAAGUUAGACACGUGUGCCUUUUUGUAUGUACUUUAUGAAUAAGGAUCGGCUAACUCCGUGCCAGCAGCCGCGGUAAUACGGAGGAUCCGAGCGUUAUCCGGAUUUAUUGGGUUUAAAGGGAGCGUAGAUGGGUUGUUAAGUCAGUUGUGAAAGUUUGCGGCGCAACCGGAAAAUUGCAAUUGAUACUGACAGCCUUGAGUACAGUUGAGGUAGGCGGAAUGCGUGGUGUAGCGGUGAAAUGCUUAGAGAUCACGAAGAACUCCGAUUGCGAAGGCAGCUUACUAAUCUGCCACUGACAUUGAUGCUCGAAAGUGUGGGUAUCAAACAGGAUUAGAUACCCUUGUAGUC
rnacentral:rRNA from 1 species